UGGAUCACCUGAGGUUGGGAGUUCAAGACCAGCCUGACCAACAUAGAGAAACCCCGUCUCUACUAAAAAUACAAAAUCAGCCAGGCGUGGUGGCACAUGCCUGUAAUCCCAGCUACUUAGGAGGCUGAGGCAAGAGAAUUGCUUGAACUCGGCCGGGCGCGGUUGCAGUGAACUGAGAUCGCGCCAUUGCACUUCAGCCUGGGCAACAAGAGCGAAACUCGGUCUCAAAAAAAAAAAAAAAAAUUCAGUAAAAUCACACCUCAAUUGCACAUUCUGAUCACAGCACCCUAGCUGAGUUGCAGUAAGGGUUUGUCCUGGAGAAGGCAGCCCAUUUUUCUCCUCUGCCCCAGCACAGGGCCAUGACCCAUUGCAGGGUGAGAGGAGUGGAGAGUGAUGCACAUCAGUAGUCCAGCCACCAGUGGACAGAGUAGUACUUGGAGCCAGUUCUCCACGUCUCAUACAUAGUGAGAAAAGUCACUGUGACAUGAUGUUUAACCUUGACCCAAGCUGCAUAAAAGGCAGCUUUAGGCCAGGCUCCAAUCUGCCAGAGGUACACAGGCAGCUUCCUGGUGGGUUUCUGCACCUGCCUGUGCUGUCUGGAGAUUUGGCCCAAAGAUUUUUUUUUUUUGAGACAAAGCCUUACUCUGUC